AAGUCGUAACAAGGUUUCCGUAGGUGAACCUGCGGAAGGAUCAUUAUAGAUUGGCCGAAAGGCCGUGUCUUCAUCCACACACACCGUGAACCAUUUCCGAGGGUCGUUGAGGGUCUCCGUCUUCAUUGAUGGGGGCCUGGCCCGGAGGAGCCACACAAACAAAAUGUAAAGAAUGUAAAUCAUCGUAACAAAACAAAA
rnacentral:misc_RNA from 1 species